AGAAAGGUAAGCUAAAUAAGCUGACAGGUUCAUACCCUGUUUAUAGAGUCCAGUAUCUCUCCUCUCUA
rnacentral:tRNA from 1 species